CCUACGGGAGGCAGCAGUGAGGAAUAUUGGUCAAUGGACGCAAGUCUGAACCAGCCAUGCCGCGUGCAGGAAGACGGCUCUAUGAGUUGUAAACUGCUUUUGUACGAGGGUAAACGCAGAUACGCGUAUCUGUCUGAAAGUAUCGUACGAAUAAGGAUCGGCUAACUCCGUGCCAGCAGCCGCGGUAAUACGGAGGGUUCAAGCGUUAUCCGGAUUUAUUGGGUUUAAAGGGUGCGUAGGCGGUCGGAUAAGUUAGAGGGGAAAUCCCGAGGCUCAACUUCGGAAUUGCGACUGAUACUGUUCGGCUAGAGAGUAGUUGCGGUAGGCGGAAUGUAUGGUGUAGCGGUGAAAUGCUUAGAGAUCAUACAGAACACCGAUUGCGAAGGCAGCCUACCAAGCUACUUCUGACGUUGAGGCACGAAAGCGUGGGGAGCAAACAGGAUUAGAUACCCGAGUAGUC
rnacentral:rRNA from 1 species